rnacentral:rRNA from 1 species
GAACCUGGCGCGUGCUUACACCUGCGAGUCAACGAACUUCGGGUAGUGGCGGACGGGUGAGUACGCGUGAGAAUCUGCCCUCAGGAGGGGGAUAACGGCUGGAAACGGCCGCUAAUACCCCAUAUGCCGCGAGGUGAAAUGAAUUUCGCCUGAGGAUGAGCUCGCGUCUGAUUAGCUAGUUGGUGGGGUAAGAGCCUACCAAGGCAUCGAUCAGUAGCUGGUCUGAGAGGAUGAUCAGCCACACUGGGACUGAGACACGGCCCAGACUCCUACGGGAGGCAGCAGUGGGGAAUUUUCCGCAAUGGGCGAAAGCCUGACGGAGCAACGCCGCGUGAGGGAUGAAGGCCUCUGGGCUGUAAACCUCUUUUAUCAAGGAAGAAGAUCUGACGGUACUUGAUGAAUAAGCCACGGCUAAUUCCGUGCCAGCAGCCGCGGUAAUACGGGAGUGGCAAGCGUUAUCCGGAAUUAUUGGGCGUAAAGCGUCCGCAGGCGGUCUUGUAAGUCUGUUGUUAAAGCG